AUGUAUUAUGUGUGCAUGCCUAGAAAGCUGAAAGGACGGUAGCCUACACAGUUUGUUUGUGAUAUGAUGUGUGUGCGGUUUUCAAGGGAUAAUGAAUAUGGAUACAUUGGAACUAUAAUACCUUGAAAAUUGGAAAUGAUCAUUAUUGUUACACGCCACUUUAAAUAUAGAGAGAUAAAGUCAAAGUGUCUUAUCUAGUGGGUUAUAUUUUAAAGAGUAUUUGAAUUUAUCCAAACACUAAAAAGGAUUGAGUUGUUAUCUGGAUAAAUAUUAAUUAU
rnacentral:lncRNA from 1 species